AUUGAACGCUGGCGGCGUGCCUAACACAUGCAAGUCGAGCGGUAACAGGUGUAGCAAUACAUGCUGACGAGCGGCGGACGGGUGAGUAACGCUUGGGAAUCUGCCUAUUAGUGGGGGACAACCCGGGGAAACUCGGGCUAAUACCGCAUACGCUCUACGGAGGAAAGCCGGGGACCGCAAGGCCUGGCGCUAAUAGAUGAGCCCAAGUCGGAUUAGCUAGUUGGUAGGGUAAUGGCCUACCAAGGCGACGAUCCGUAACUGGUCUGAGAGGACGACCAGUCACACCGGAACUGAGACACGGUCCGGACUCCUACGGGAGGCAGCAGUGGGGAAUAUUGGACAAUGGGCGAAAGCCUGAUCCAGCGACGCCGCGUGGGUGAAGAAGGCCUGCGGGUUGUAAAGCCCUUUCAGUGGGGAAGAAAAGCCUCGACCUAACACGUCGGGGUCUUGACGUAACCCAUAGAAGAAGCACCGGCCAACUCUGUGCCAGCAGCCGCCGCGGUAAU
rnacentral:rRNA from 1 species